rnacentral:rRNA from 1 species
UGUUGGUGGGGUGACGGCCUACCAAGGCGACGACGGGUAGCCGGCCUGAGAGGGUGUCCGGCCACACUGGGACUGAGAUACGGCCCAGACUCCUACGGGAGGCAGCAGUGGGGAAUAUUGCACAAUGGGCGCAAGCCUGAUGCAGCGACGCCGCGUGGGGGAUGACGGCCUUCGGGUUGUAAACCUCUUUCACCAUCGACGAAGGUCCGGGUUCUCUCGGAUUGACGGUAGGUGGAGAAGAAGCACCGGCCAACUACGUGCCAGCAGCCGCGGUAAUACGUAGGGUGCGAGCGUUGUCCGGAAUUACUGGGCGUAAAGAGCUCGUAGGUGGUUUGUCGCGUUGUUCGUGAAAUCUCACGGCUUAACUGUGAGCGUGCGGGCGAUACGGGCAGACUAGAGUACUGCAGGGGAGACUGGAAUUCCUGGUGUAGCGGUGGAAUGCGCAGAUAUCAGGAGGAACACCGGUGGCGAAGGCGGGUCUCUGGGCAGUAACUGACGCUGAGGAGCGAAAGCGUGGGGAGCGAACAGGAUUAGAUACCCUGGUAGUCCACGCCGUAAACGGUGGGUACUAGGUGUGGGUUUCCUUCCUUGGGAUCCGUGCCGUAGCUAACGCAUUAAGUACCCCGCCUGGGGAGUACGGCCGCAAGGCUAAAACUCAAAGGAAUUGACGGGGGCCCGCACAAGCGGCGGAGCAUGUGGAUUAAUU